AUGAACAAUGUUACUCUCUGCCAGAUGAAGGAAAAUUAUUUUGAGGGUUUUUUUCAAGCUCCAAAUUUGCUAAAUUGAACACAAGUGGUAAGUAGAUUUUUCAAAUAAUAUUAAUAACGCGAUCUCCACAGACAUGUUGGGGGGAACCGUUUCAGUACCAACUGGACACGCAUUCUGUCUUUUUGUAGAAUCUGCAAUACGAUGUUCGGAUAACUGUGAAGAUUUCGUUGGAAAAGGGAAUAUCUUCAUAGAAAAUCUAGACAGAAGCUCUCCUUGGGUUUCUCCAUGCUCCUUAAGGUGUAUUCUU
rnacentral:lncRNA from 1 species